CAUUAUUCUCCACGUGAUCUCUUUCUUGCUGGCCACUCAUUUGCCAGUAACUUAUUUUACUCCAAUGAAUGCAUUCAAGCCGUUUUUCAGUUAGUGAAGGACGUUCGUGCAAAGUAUCACAGUCACUACUUUUUGAAGGAACUUGUGCGGUGCAUACACGUGCUCUUUCGAGUUUUGGAUGCUCAUUCUUAUCAGAUAAACGGCGGAAUAAUUCAAAAAAAGGAAAAAAAAGUGAAAAAUAGUAAAAUCACUUCUGCUACGG